AGCCCUGUAGUUCAAUGGAUAGAAUAGAAGUUUCCUAAACUUUUGAUGCAAGUUCGAUUCUUGCCGGGGCUACAA
rnacentral:tRNA from 1 species